GUCCGCGCUCGCCAGCCGUCCGGCACGGCACCGCCUUGGCGAGGGCUGACAGGGCCAGCCGCCACGCGGGCAGAUGCACGGCGGGCCCCGCGGGCUGGGAGAGGAUCCGCGAACGGCAUUCACCUCAGCGGUGCCCCUGGUCAAGAUACAGAAGAAUAAGAGAUGGCAGAAUGGAAGCUAGAGAUAGCUGGUGUGUAACAGAGCCUAACAGAGGUGAGAGAAGAUACAUGUGAGAUGAAAAUCAGCUUCUGCAGCAGCCGUUCCAGAUGGACUGUUGUGAUUUACAGAGCAAUCAAGACUGUAGGAACCACUGACUGACACCCUGCUACUGACCUGAUCUUUGUCUCUGGUGGAGCUGAGAGCAACUGGCAGCAGAAAGGAAGAUUCUUUGUUAUUCUGGAACAGCCUUUGGACAUAAAUCACUGUUCUCUAAGAUAUCCAGGAUCAUUUUCCUUCUCCUGUAAUGUUUGGUGCCUGGAAAUGAAGUUUUUCGAAGAGGACAGUCAACCCAUAGGGAUGUAAUGCUGAAGCAUGGCUGCUGUGAUGUGACUUUUGGUAACGAGCACAUUUACUGCCAGCACCGGCUUGAGAAAGUGAUGUGUCAUUGUGGACCAAAUGGACUAUCUUACGGUAUUUUGUGUAUCUUUAAACCUGAUGUCAUGGAUUAUGUGGAUAUAUCAUCUUCCACUCGAAGUUUCUAGCUGCAAAUAAAAGCCUACGAAUGUGAACCUUAAAACCUUAGGUCAAAGGGCAAAUAAAAAGUAUUGUAUUUGAAAUUAAGUUUUAAUUUUAAUACAAUUACACAUCAGUACAAACAAUUGUUAGCAUUAUUGCUUCCACCUUCUUUAGAUGUAGUCAGUUUUCUAAUCAAUGCUUAUCUGUGUUGCGGCUGUACUAACUGGUACUCUACUAGUAUGGGUAAAAAAAGAGGAACAACAUUAUUUUUGCAGUAUCUAAACAGAGGAUCUUCCUUGUAACUAAAAUGCGUUGAAGGCCAUUCGUCAUGAAAUGUAUAAUGAUCUCUCUCACUGGGUGCUUUCCUCUAAAAUGAAGUUUUAUUUAUACUUCAAAGGGAAAAAGUACAUAUUUAAGUUCCUCAAGGGCACAGAGAAUGGAAGUCAUUGUGUGGAUAUUUUAAUACAAAUUGCUUCCUGCAUUUCUAAGUGGCAAAUAUAUGAAUAUUCAUAGAAUCACAAGGCCAGAUGAUCAUCCAGUACAUGGCAUACAUGGGAGAAAAAUGGAGGAGAAUGU